rnacentral:rRNA from 1 species
CCUACGGGGGGCUGCAGUCGCGAAAACUUUGCAAUACACGAAAGUGUGACAGGGCUAUCCCGAGUGCCAUCCGCUGAGGAAGGCUUUUACCCAGUCUAGAACGCUGGGGGAAUAAGGAGAGGGCAAGUCUGGUGUCAGCCGCCGCGGUAAUACCAGCUCUCCGAGUGGUGUGGAUGUUUAUUGGGCCUAAAGCAUCCGUAGCUGGCUAAGUUAGUCCCCUGUUAAAUCCACCGAAUUAAUCGUUGGAUUGCGGGGGAUACUGCUUGGCUAGGGGACGAGAGAGGCAGACGGUAUUUUCGGGGUAGGGGUGAAAUCCUAUAAUCCCGGGAAGACCACCAGUGGCGAAGGCUGUCUGCUAGAACGCGCCCGACGGUGAGGGAUGAAAGCUGGGGGAGCGAACCGGAUUAGAUACCCGGGUAGUC